rnacentral:rRNA from 1 species
AUUGAACGCUGGCGGCAGGCUUAACACAUGCAAGUCGAGCGGGGUGAUGGUGCUUGCACUAUCACUUAGCGGCGGACGGGUGAGUGAUGCUUAGGAAUCUGCCUAUUAGUGGGGGACAACAUCUCGAAAGGGAUGCUAAUACCGCAUACGUCCUACGGGAGAAAGCAGGGGAUCACUUGUGACCUUGCGCUAAUAGAUGAGCCUAAGUCGGAUUAGCUAGAUGGUGGGGUAAAGGCCUACCAAGGCGACGAUCUGUAGCGGGUCUGAGAGGAUGAUCCGCCACACUGGGACUGAGACACGGCCCAGACUCCUACGGGAGGCAGCAGUGGGGAAUAUUGGACAAUGGGGGGAACCCUGAUCCAGCCAUGCCGCGUGUGUGAAGAAGGCCUUAUGGUUGUAAAGCACUUUAAGCGAGGAGGAGGCUCUUUUGGUUAAUACCCAAGAUGAGUGGACGUUACUCGCAGAAUAAGCACCGGCUAACUCUGUGCCAGCCGCCGCCGUAA